rnacentral:rRNA from 1 species
CACGUAGGGGGCGAGCGUUGUCCGGAUUUAUUGGGCGUAAAGAGCUCGUAGGCGGUUGGGCAAGUCACGUGUGAAAUCUCCACGCUCAACGUGGAGGCGCCACGUGAGACUGCCCUGACUCGAGUCCGGUAGGGGAGCGUGGAAUUCCCGGUGUAGCGGUGAAAUGCGCAGAGAUCGGGAGGAACACCCGUAGCGAAGGCGGCGCUCUGGGCCGGUACUGACGCUGAGGAGCGAAAGCGUGGGGAGCAAACAGG